GUGUAGGCGGCGAGUUGUAUCCCCGGCAAUCGAGGAGUAGCCUCGUAAGACCAGGUCC
rnacentral:tRNA from 1 species